GACGAACGCUGGCGGCGUGCUUAACACAUGCAAGUCGAACGGUGAAGCUCCAGCUUGCUGGAGUGGAUCAGUGGCGAACGGGUGAGUAACACGUGAGCAACCUGCCCCUGACUCUGGAAUAAGCGCUGGAAACGGCGUCUAAUACUGGAUACGAGAAGGGUCCGCAUGGGCACUUUCUGGAAAGUUUUUCGGUUGGGGAUGGACUCGCGGCCUAUCAGCUUGUUGGUGAGGUAAUGGCUCACCAAGGCGACGACGGGUAGCCGGCCUGAGAGGGGGACCGGCCACACUGGGACUGGGAGACGACCCAGACUGCUACGGGAGGCAGCAGUGGGGAAUAUUGCACAAUGGGCGAAAGCCUGAUGCAGCGACGCCGCGUGUGGGAUGACGGCCUUCGGGUUGUAAACCUCUUUCAGCAGGGAAGAAGCGAAAGUGACGGUACCUGCAGAAGAAGCACCGGCUAACUACGUG
rnacentral:rRNA from 1 species